rnacentral:rRNA from 1 species
GCGGCGAACGGCUGAGUAACGCGUGGGAAUUUGCCCCAAAGUGAGGAAUAACUGCCCGAAAGGGUGGCUAAUGCCGCAUAUGAUCUUCGGAUUAAAGGAUUUAUCCGCUUUGGGAGAAGCCCGCGUCGGAUUAGGUAGUUGGUGAGGCAAUGGCUCACCAAGCCGACGAUCCGUAGCUGGUCUGAGAGGAUGACCAGCCGNACUGGAACUGANACACGGUCCANACUCCUACGGGAGGCANCAGUGAGGAAUCUUCCACAAUGGGCGAAAGCCUGAUGGA